CGGGGUAGGAGUAACGCGUGAGGAACCUGCCUCAAAGAGGGGGACAACAGUUGGAAACGACUGCUAAUACCGCAUAAGCCCACGGCUCGGCAUCGAGCAGAGGGAAAAGGAGUGAUCCGCUUUGAGAUGGCCUCGCGUCCGAUUAGCUGUUGGUGAGGUAACGGCCCACCAAGGCGACGAUCGGUAGCCGGACUGAGAGGUUGAACGGCCACAUUGGGACUGAGACACGGCCCAG
rnacentral:rRNA from 1 species